AACGAACGCUGGCGGCAUGCCUAACACAUGCAAGUCGAACGAGACCUUCGGGUCUAGUGGCGCACGGGUGCGUAACGCGUGGGAAUCUGCCCUUGGGUUCGGAAUAACAGUUAGAAAUGACUGCUAAUACCGGAUGAUGUCUUCGGACCAAAGAUUUAUCGCCCAAGGAUGAGCCCGCGUAGGAUUAGGUAGUUGGUGGGGUAAUGGCCCACCAAGCCGACGAUCCUUAGCUGGUCUGAGAGGAUGAUCAGCCACACUGGGACUGAGACACGGCCCAGACUCCUACGGGAGGCAGCAGUGGGGAAUAUUGGACAAUGGGCGAAAGCUUGAUCCAGCAAUGCCGCGUGAGUGAUGAAGGCCUUAGGGUUGUAAAGCUCUUUUACCAGGGAUGAUAAUGACAGUACCUGGAGAAUAAGCUCCGGCUAACUCCGUG
rnacentral:rRNA from 1 species